GACAGAGGAUGCAAGCGUUAUCCGGAAUGAUUGGGCGUAAAGCGUCUGUAGGUGGCUUUUUAAGUCCGCCGUCAAAUCCCAGGGCCUCAACCCUGGACAGGCGGUGGAAACGUACCAAGCUGGAGUACGGUAGGGGCAGACGGGAAUUUCCGGUGGAGCGGUGAAAUGCGUAGAGAUCGGAAAGAACACCAACGGCGAAAGCACUCUGCUGGGCCGACACUGACACUGAGAAGACGAAAGCUAGGGGAGCGAAUGGG
rnacentral:rRNA from 1 species